AACGAACGCUGGCGGCAUGCCUAACACAUGCAAGUCGAACGAACCCUUCGGGGUUAGUGGCGCACGGGUGCGUAACGCGUGGGAAUCUGCCCUUUGCUUCGGAAUAACUCAGGGAAACUUGUGCUAAUACCGGAUGAUGUCUUCGGACCAAAGAUUUAUCGGCAAAGGAUGAGCCCGCGUAGGAUUAGGUAGUUGGUGGGGUAAAGGCCUACCAAGCCGACGAUCCUUAGCUGGUCUGAGAGGAUGAUCAGCCACACUGGGACUGAGACACGGCCCAGACUCCUACGGAAGGGAGCAGUGGGGAAUAUUGGACAAUGGGGGCAAGGCUGAUCGAGCAAUGCCGCGUGAGUGAUGAAGGCCGUCGGGUCGUAAAGCUCUUUUACCAGGGAAGAUAAUGACGGUACCAGGAGAAUAAGCUCCGGCUAACUCCGUG
rnacentral:rRNA from 1 species